ensembl:lncRNA
GAAUAACUCUGAAUGCAAUUUGAUUUACCGAAUUUCUUUAUUGAAAAUAACUUGAAGAAAGACAAGAACAUUUGUUGUCUUUUAAAGUUUUCUUUAUUUUGUGCCAAAUUGGUGCCAAAUCAAUAAAUGAGCGGUAGAAGCUACCGUUCACAGAUGGAAAAUGUAAAACACUCACUUACCACUCUAUUAAGAACAUGUUGGUUUUUGGUCAAUGUGACGGACCAAAAAGCAACAAAGUUAUUGUAUCCAAUUGAUCCCUAUGAGCGACCGUGGAGAGGAAAAACUCCCUUUUAACAGGAAGAAACCUCUGGCAGAACCAGGCUCAGGGAGGGCGGCCAUCUGCCUCGACCGGUUGGUGGAUAAGUGAGUGUUUUUUGUGCAUAUUACAUAUUUACUUACUGUGCAUGUUAUAUUAAAUAUUUAAAUGACAUAUAUACUUACCUGAAGCAGACAUGAUGUGGGAAAUUUCUGAAAAUGCCACACAGAAAUGAGCAGCCUUCAAAGUGGUUACUUAAUUUGAAGGCUGCUCAUGUAUGCUGUGUGGCUUACCUGUGUCUGCUAUUUCUGAAAUACGUCUCUGAGUCUUCUUUCCACCUCACAGCGGGAUUUAUCCGAGACGCUUUCUUCCCACAUCUUUCUGAAUUUCCUCUGUUUGAUCAGGUCUUUUAUGAUGGCCUUUCCAUGAGCUCUGCAGAGAGAUGCAGUUUUAAUCAACACUUUAGUUUCUAAGUAAAUGCGGAGAAUUUCUACAGUCAUUGUAACAAAACAGUCAGGGCGGGGGAGAUUCCAAGAUGGCUGCCGAGUAGAAGCAUCUCUGCUGAGCGGUUACAAAAUAAAUCUGAAACUGGUUAAAAAAAAAAAGAAACCUGUUCUCCUUUUGUUUUUUAAACCGAUCUUGUUUUAGAAGAAAAAGCACUGAGAUAUAUAAAUGUCGAAUCGUAAGAAAACGAGAAUGUAGCAGGCCAGAGCAAGUUUGGCUGAAGUUUCAUCAGGUAAUAUCUUUAUAUCUUCAUGUCAUGAGUAAGCUAGCACCUUGACUCCAGCGAUGCUCAGUGCAUUGUGAGUUUCCUCUGCUGAGCAGGGCUCUCUGAUGGGUGAUCCAGUGGUGAUGGUGAGUCUGUACCCUGAGUUCCCCCAGUCUGUGAUGUGUUCAAUGGCUUCAUGUGGAGAGUUUGUGUUGGUAGUGAAUAAUUCUGAAAAUGUGAGUAAUACUCGCAACAGCAGUGCCAGGGUAUUCAUAAAGUGGUGUUAGAGUUACAAUAUCUUUCCUCAAAUUGUUCCUCUCACACAGUGGCCUCACCUUCUUUUCCCUCUUCCCUUCAGGACACUCCUCUGCUCCUGUUGGAGAGUUUACCGAUGGGUUGCUAUUCAAACAUUUACAGUUUGGGGUCUAGUUAUGAACACAUCUUCCCGUGACUUGUAUUCAUGUGAUCUCAGUGACUUACAGUGAUAUCACUGUAAAUGUGUAAUAACAAAUUUCCCAUGUGUGGGACUAAUAAAGGUUAUCUUAUCUUAUCUUAUCUUAUCUGAUCUUAUAAGAUGUCGUCCCUGUUGUUAAACACCAUGUUGCCUUUGGAUGAUUCUGCAAAACUCCAGGUUAUGUUUGAUCUCACUUGUGUGUAUCUCAUGGCAGUAAGAGUGUAGAGUAUGGUGAGAAGACCAUGGAGGAGGCUCUGAAGAAAGUUGAGCAAAUGGAGGCUAAUCUUGGAGGAACAGAAAUCCUGGAGCCCCUCAAACAUAUUUACAGCCAGCCCUGCAUUCCCACUCAGCCCAGACAG